rnacentral:rRNA from 1 species
CGUUCUGUAAGCCUGCGAAGGUGUGCUGUGAGGCAUGCUGGAGGUAUCAGAAGUGCGAAUGCUGACAUAAGUAACGAUAAAGCGGGUGAAAAGCCCGCUCGCCGGAAGACCAAGGGUUCCUGUCCAACGUUAAUCGGGGCAGGGUGAGUCGACCCCUAAGGCGAGGCCGAAAGGCGUAGUCGAUGGGAAACAGGUUAAUAUUCCUGUACUUGGUGUUACUGCGAAGGGGGGACGGAGAAGGCUAUGUUGGCCGGGCGACGGUUGUCCCGGUUUAAGCGUGUAGGCUGGUUUUCCAGGCAAAUCCGGAAAAUCAAGGCUGAGGCGUGAUGACGAGGCACUACGGUGCUGAAGCAACAAAUGCCCUGCUUCCAGGAAAAGCCUCUAAGCAUCAGGUAACAUCAAAUCGUACCCCAAACCGACACAGGUGGUCAGGUAGAGAAUACCAAGGCGCUUGAGAGAACUCGGGUGAAGGAACUAGGCAAAAUGGUGCCGUAACUUCGGGAGAAGGCACGCUGAUAUGUAGGUGAAGUCCCUUGCGGAUGGAGCUGAAAUCAGUCGAAGAUACCAGCUGGCUGCAACUGUUUAUUAAAAACACAGCACUGUGCAAACACGAAAGUGGACGUAUACGGUGUGACGCCUGCCCGGUGCCGGAAGGUUAAUUGAUGGGGUCAGCGCAAGCGAAGCUCUUGAUCGAAGCCCCGGUAAACGGCGGCCGUAACUAUAACGGUCCUAAGGUAGCGAAAUUCCUUGUCGGGUAAGUUCCGACCUGCACGAAUGGCGUAAUGAUGGCCAGGCUGUCUCCACCCGAGACUCAGUGAAAUUGAACUCGCUGUGAAGAUGCAGUGUACCCGCGGCAAGACGGAAAGACCCCGUGAACCUUUACUAUAGCUUGACACUGAACAUUGAGCCUUGAUGUGUAGGAUAGGUGGGAGGCUUUGAAGUGUGGACGCCAGUCUGCAUGGAGCCGACCUUGAAAUACCACCCUUUAAUGUUUGAUGUUCUAACGUUGACCCGUAAUCCGGGUUGCGGACAGUGUCUGGUGGGUAGUUUGACUGGGGCGGUCUCCUCCUAAAGAGUAACGGAGGAGCACGAAGGUUGGCUAAUCCUGGUCGGACAUCAGGAGGUUAGUGCAAUGGCAUAAGCCAGCUUGACUGCGAGCGUGACGGCGCGAGCAGGUGCGAAAGCAGGUCAUAGUGAUCCGGUGGUUCUGAAUGGAAGGGCCAUCGCUCAACGGAUAAAAGGUACUCCGGGGAUAACAGGCUGAUACCGCCCAAGAGUUCAUAUCGACGGCGGUGUUUGGCACCUCGAUGUCGGCUCAUCACAUCCUGGGGCUGAAGUAGGUCCCAAGGGUAUGGCUGUUCGCCAUUUAAAGUGGUACGCGAGCUGGGUUUAGAACGUCGUGAGACAGUUCGGUCCCUAUCUGCCGUGGGCGCUGGAGAACUGAGGGGGGCUGCUCCUAGUACGAGAGGACCGGAGUGGACGCAUCACUGGUGUUCGGGUUGUCAUGCCAAUGGCACUGCCCGGUAGCUAAAUGCGGAAGAGAUAAGUGCUGAAAGCAUCUAAGCACGAAACUUGCCCCGAGAUGAGUUCUCCCUGACUCCUUGAGAGUCCUGAAGGAACGUUGAAGACGACGACGUUGAUAGGCCGGGUGUGUAAGCGCAGCGAUGCGUUGAGCUAACCGGUACUAAUGAACCGUGAGGCUUAACCUUACAACGCCGAAGGUGUUU